rnacentral:rRNA from 1 species
CCCUUAGACGUUCUGGGCUGCUCGCGCGCUACACUGACGCAAUCAACAAGUGCCAAGUCCGGAAGGAUGAGGAAAUCUUGUGAAAAUGCGUCGUGCUGGGGAUAGACCAUUGCAAUUGUUGGUCUUGAACGAGGAAUUCCUAGUAAGCGUAAGUCAUCAGCUUGCGCUGAUUAAGUCACUGCCAAUUGUACACACCGCCCGUCGCUGCUACCGAUUGGGUACUCCGGUGAAUUAUUCGGACUAGCUAUGCUGGGAAGUAUUGUGAACCUUAUUACCUAGAGGAAGCACAAGUCGUANCA